GACCCGCCGUCGUUGCGUCUCGCGAGGCGCCGUUUGGCGUAUUAUCGUUAAGUCUUGGUUAGAGCAAACGGAGAGGUCGUUCCAUGCAGCAGCUUCUGUCUCUGAAGUGACAAACUCCCGGGGCAACACCUCUGCCCUAGCAACAAGCAAAAGGCCAAGGCAACCAGCAGUGACCUUACAGCUAUCACACAAGUUCAAGAGAGCUCCUUACAGAAAGGGCUUUGGCCCUUUCUCAGCCUCCUUUCAUGGAGAGAGACAUUUGUGGGUUAGUGCUGAGAAUUUGAAUCCUCAGCUUCAAAGUAUCCUCCACCAUCAAAACAAUCCUGCACAUUUGCCAUCUACCCAACACUGCAACUUCACUAUUCUGACUUUUCCAUGGGGAUAGGCCUGAGUGAGCCUGAAGUGGCAUAUU